GAAAAGCAUGUCCUUUUCCUAUAUGAUUUGACUCUGUUGGAAACUGGUGGGUCUACAAAAGAGAAAUCAAUUGUCAUGUAAUAAGAGCAAGUACACAAAUAACAGUAGAUGUGGGAGCCCUCUUCAGUCCUCCGAGGCUCUGAAUCCACUCAGCCACAGACCGCUGGCCAGCUGAUGCACUGACGUCCCCCCUGACAGUCACUCCAUGUGAAGACAACUGAGAAAUGAUGUUUCCAAUCGAGCACCAAAUUGGAAAUAGAGCAGGUAGAAUAUUGAAAGUAUUGAUUUAGAACAUUGUGAAAGCAAAAGAGAUGGCUUUUUUCUGAGCCUGUUUCCCUCAGAGAGACAUGAAACGUCUCUGUCAUCACAAUGGGAAUCAAUACACAUUCAUAACCACAUGCCCAAUGUGAGUUUGGGAUUGAGACGGAACAGUUUAUUUGUCAUGGUUCUGCUUUCUCCUCACUCUGUUUUGCUCCUGUAAGUUCUCUGCGGGUGGGCGUGUCGGAGAGUCACUGCUGUGGCUGAUUUCCCAUCAGCUUGGCCAGGGGGUUUAAGGAACGGUGUUGCCACACUUCAGUGCUGGUUGAUACUCUCUCGUGGGGUAACCUCUAGCCAUGUCCUGUCCUGUCAGAUUACUUCUGAAAUCAUGUUUUAGACUUGUGCUCAUGCUGCCUUCCUUGUCCACCACUGUACCUGUCCUGGAUCCUCGUCGCUGUUCUCACCUUCCUGAAGUGUGUUGUCACCUCAACGUCGCUCAACUCCCCUGGCCGCCUGCUCUCCACCGCUCACCUGCCCUAGAUCAUCCACAACUACCAACUACUCUUCUCCACUGGACAUUUCCCUGCACAGACCUGACUUGCCUCCCCCUUCAGUCAUUAUUCCAACUCAGUACCAAUCGGAGUAACACCCUGUCCCGUUUGGAUCAGUGCCCUUAGUUAACCUUUAGUUUCCUUUUUAAUAAACAUUUUGUAUUUUU